GGUGUAGUAGCUCAGUGGUAGAGCUUUGGAUUGCAGAUCCAGCGGUCUCCGGUUCGAAUCCGGGCUGCACCU
rfam:Vavraia culicis subsp. floridensis unplaced genomic scaffold supercont1.5, whole genome shotgun sequence.